rnacentral:rRNA from 1 species
ACAAAAAGUAAAAGAAGGGCAGACGGUGGAUGCCUUGGCUCUCGGAGGCGAUGAAGGACGUGAUAAGCUGCGAAAAGCCCGGUUGAGGUGCAAAUAACCCUUGACGCCGGGAUAUCCGAAUGGGGAAACCCGAUUGGUAGAAGACCAAUCACAUCGAAAGAUGGGCGAACGUGGGGAACUGAAACAUCUAAGUACCCAUAGGAAGAGAAAAUAAUAAUGAUUGCGUAAGUAGUGGCGAGCGAACGCGCAAGAGCCCAAACCAUAGAUGUUUUGGCAUCAUAUGGGGUUGUAGGAUCGCGAUAUGGCAAGAAGCAAAGGAAGUGGAACCCGCUGGAAAGAGGGCCAUAGAGGGUGAAAGUCCCGUACACGAAUCUUUUGUGAAGCCUAGCGAUAUCCUGAGUAAGUCGGGACACGUGAAAUCCUGACCGAAUCUGCGGGGACCAUCCCGUAAGGCUAAAUACUCCCGAGAGACCGAUAGCGAACCAGUACCGUGAGGGAAAGGUGAAAAGAACCUCGAAUAGAGGAGUGAAAUAGACCCUGAACCCGUCUGCCUACAAGCGGUCGGAGCACCUUUAAGGUGUGACGGCGUGCCUUUUGCAUAAUGAACCUGCGAGUUGUUUUUUUUGGCAAGGUUAAGCAUCAGUAGGUGCGCAGCCGAAGCGAAAGCGAGUCUGAAUAGGGCGCCUAAGUCAAAAGGAGCAGACGCGAAACCAAGUGAUCUACCGAUGGCCAGGCUGAAGGUUGGGUAACACCAACUGGAGGGCCGAAUGGAUAUACGUUGAAAAGUGUUCCAAUGAGCUGUGGGUAGGGGUGAAAGGCUAAUCAAACUUGGAGAUAGCUCGUACUCCCCGAAAUGCAUUUAGGUGCAGCCUCGGGUAAAGUACUGAUGAGAGGUAGAGCGACUGAUUGGAUGCGAGGGCUUCACCGCCUAUCAAGUCCGGCCAAACUCCGAAUGCUCAUCAGCAACAUCCCGGGAGUGAGGGCAUGGGUGCUAAGGUCCAU